GAUGAACGCUGGCGGCGUGCCUAAUACAUGCAAGUCGAGCGAACAGACGAGGAGCUUGCUCCUCUGACGUUAGCGGCGGACGGGUGAGUAACACGUGGAUAACCUACCUAUAAGACUGGGAUAACUUCGGGAAACCGGAGCUAAUACCGGAUAAUAUAUUGAACCGCAUGGUUCAAUAGUGAAAGACGGUUUUGCUGUCACUUAUAGAUGGAUCCGCGCCGCAUUAGCUAGUUGGUAAGGUAACGGCUUACCAAGGCAGCGAUUCGUAGCCGACCUGAGAGGGUGAUCGGCCACACUGGAACUGAGACACGGUCCAGACUCCUACGGGAGGCAGCAGUAGGGAAUCUUCCGCAAUGGGCGAAAGCCUGACGGAGCAACGCCGCGUGAGUGAUGAAGGUCUUCGGAUCGUAAAACUCUGUUAUUAGGGAAGAACAAAUGUGUAAGUAACUAUGCACGUCUUGACGGUACCUAAUCAGAAAGCCACGGCUAACUACGUG
rnacentral:rRNA from 1 species